AAGAUCCUGCGAUGUUCGUUAGGCUGUAUAUGUUUCUAACCUUAUACGUAUUUUCUGGGAGACAGAACUUCACGCGGAUGUCAGGCCCACCUCCCUGUAUGGGACGCAUGGGAAGGCAAAAACGUGGACGGGUCGCCCACCUGUGUGAGCACAGGUUACAGAAACAUUAGGUCGGACGGCAGAGCGGGGGAUUU
rnacentral:other from 2 species